rnacentral:rRNA from 1 species
CCUACGGGAGGCUGCAGUGGGGAAUAUUGCGCAAUGGGGGAAACCCUGACGCAGCAACGCCGCGUGAGUGAAGACGUCUCUCCGUAUGUAAAGCUCUAUCAGCGGGGAAGAAGGAAGACGGUACCCGACUAAGAAGCCCCGGCUGACUACGUGCCAGCAGCCUCGGUCAUACGCAGGUGGCAAGGGUUAUCCGGAAUGAUUGGGCGUAAAGGGUGCGUAGGCGGCAAAAUAAGUCUGAAGUAAAAGGCGUUGGCUCAACCAACGUAAGCUUUGGAAACUGUUAAGCUAGCGUGCAGGAGAGGUUAGUGGAAUUCCAUGUGUAGCGGUAAAAUGCGUAGAUAUAUGGAGGAACACCCGUGGCGAAGGCGGCUAACUGGACUGUAACGGACGCUGCGGCACGAAAGCGUGGGGAGCAAAUAGGAUUAGAUACCCUUGUAGUC